AAUAGAUACCCCGGUAGUCCACGCCGUAAACGAUGGAUGCUAGCUGUUAUGCGUAUCGACCCGUGUAGUAGCGAAGCUAACGCGUUAAGCAUCCCGCCUGGGGAGUACGAACGCAAGUUUAAAACUCAAAGGAAUUGACGGGGACCCGCACAAGCGGUGGAGCGUGUUCUUUAAUUCGAGGCUAAGCGAAGAACCUUACCAGGGCUUGACAUCCUUGGAAUUUCUCCGAAAGGAGAGAGUACUUUAUUGGACCAAGUGACAGGUGCUGCAUGGCCGUCGUCAGCUCGUGUCGUGAGAUGUUUGGUUAAGUCCAUUAACGAGCGCAACCCUUAUGAAUAGUUGUAUUUUUUCUAUUCAGACUGCCCCGGUAACGGGGAGGAAGGGGGGAUGAUGUCAGGUCAGUAUUGCCCUUACGCCCUGGGCUAGAAACGCGCUACAAUGGCCGGUACAAUGCGCUGCCAACCCGCGAGGGGGAGCAAAUCGCAUCAAAGCCGGUCCCAGUUCGGAUAAGAGGCUGAAACUCGCCUCUUUGAAGCCGGAAUCGCUAGUAAUCGU
rnacentral:rRNA from 1 species